GAGUUUGAUCUUGGCUCAGGGUGAACGCUGGCGGCGUGCUUAAGACAUGCAAGUCGAACGGUCCCUUCGGGGAUAGUGGCGCACGGGUGAGUAACGCGUAACUGACCUACCCCAAAGUCGCGGAUAACGAUUCGAAAGAAUCGCUAAUACGUGAUGUGCUGUCAGAUUGUGUUCUGCCAGUAAAGAUUUAUUGCUUUGGGAUGGGGUUGCGUUCCAUCAGCUAGUUGGUGGGGUAAAGGCCUACCAAGGCGACGACGGAUAGCCGGCCUGAGAGGGUGGCCGGCCACAGGGGCACUGAGACACGGGUCCCACUCCUACGGGAGGCAGCAGUUAGGAAUCUUCCACAAUGGGCGAAAGCCUGAUGGAGCGACGCCGCGUGAGGGAUGAAGGUCUUCGGAUUGUAAACCUCUGAAUCAGGGACGAAAGAACGCGU
rnacentral:rRNA from 1 species